rnacentral:rRNA from 1 species
UACAGAGGGUGCAAGCGUUAUUCGGAAUUACUGGGCAUAAAGAGCGCGUAGGCGGUCUAAUAAGUCUGAUGUGAAAGCCCUGGACUCAAUCCAGGAAGUGCAUCGGAUACUGUUAGACUCGAGUAAAGGAGAGGACAGCGGAAUUCCUGGUGUAGAGGUGAAAUUCGUAGAUAUCAGGAGGAACAACAGUGGCGAAGGCGGCUGUCUGGACUUUCACUGACGCUGAGGCGCGAAAGCGUGGGGAGCAAACAGGAUUAGAUACCCUGGUAGUCCACGCCGUAAACUAUGGAUGCUAGAUGUCGGAAGUUCUUACCCUUUCGGUGUCGUCGCAAAUGCAUUAAGCAUCCCGCCUGGGAAGUACGGUCGCAAGAUUA